rnacentral:lncRNA from 1 species
GUUCCAAUGAGAAUGAAGGCUGAGGUGUGCGCCUUUUUUUUUUUUUCCUUCUUAGUCGUGUGUACAUCAUUGGGAAUGGAGGGAAAUAAAUGACUGGAUGGUCGCUGCUUUUUAAGUUUCAAAUUGACAUUCCAGACAAGCGGUGCCUGAGCCCGUGCCUGUCUUCAGAUCUUCACAGCACAGUUCCUGGGAAGGUGGAGCCACCAGCCUCUCCUUGAAUAACUGGGAGAUGAAACAGGAAGCUCUAUGACACACUUGAUCGAAUAUGACAGACACCGAAAAUCACGACUCAGCCCCCUCCAGCACCUCUACCUGUUGCCCGCCGAUCACAGCCGGAAUGCAGCUGAAAGAUUCCCUGGGGCCUGGUUCCAACCGCCCACUGUGGACUCUGAGGCCUCUGCAUUUGCGGGUGGUCUGCCUGUGAUAUUUUGGUCAUGGGCUGGUCUGGUCGGUUUCCCAUUUGUCUGGCCAGUCUCUAUGUGUCUUAAUCCCUUGUCCUUCAUUAAAAGCAAAACUAAAGAAAACAGAA